rnacentral:rRNA from 1 species
CUAGCCCUAAACGAUGUUUACUUGGUGUCGGUGGCUUAAUCGCCAUCGGUAUCGUAGCUAACGCGAUAAGUAAACCGCCUGGGGACUACGGCCGCAAGGUUAAAACUCAAAGGAAUUGACGGGUCCCCGCACAAGCAGCGGAGCGUGUGGUUUAAUUCGUUGCUACACGAAGAACCUUACCUGGGUUUGACAUAGCAGUGGUAGGGAAACGAAAGUGGACCGACCCUUCGGGGAGCUGUUACAGGUGU